rnacentral:rRNA from 1 species
UCCGUAGGCGGGCCUGUAAGUCAGGGGUGAAAGUUUGUGGCUCAACCAUGAAAUUGCCUUUGAUACUGCAGGUCUUGAGUCAUGGUGGGGUUGCCGGAACAUGUGGUGUAGCGGUGAAAUGCAUAGAUAUCACAUAGAACACCGAUCGCGAAGGCAGGUGACCAACCAUGUACUGACGCUGAUGGACGAAAGCGUGGUAGCGAACG